GAUGAACGCUGGCGGCGUGCCUAAUACAUGCAAGUCGAGCGAACAGACAAGGAGCUUGCUCCUCUGACGUUAGCGGCGGACGGGUGAGUAACACGUGGAUAACCUACCUAUAAGACUGGGAUAACUUCGGGAAACCGGAGCUAAUACCGGAUAAUAUAUUGAACCGCAUGGUUCAAUAGUGAAAGACGGUUUUGCUGUCACUUAUAGAUGGAUCCGCGCCGCAUUAGCUAGUUGGUAAGGUAACGGCUUACCAAGGCAACGAUGCGUAGCCGACCUGAGAGGGUGAUCGGCCACACUGGAACUGAGACACGGUCCAGACUCCUACGGGAGGCAGCAGUAGGGAAUCUUCCGCAAUGGGCGAAAGCCUGACGGAGCAACGCCGCGUGAGUGAUGAAGGUCUUCGGAUCGUAAAACUCUGUUAUUGGGGAAGAACAAAUGUGUAAGUAACUAUACACGUCUUGACGGUACCUAAUCAGAAAGCCACGGCUAACUACGUG
rnacentral:rRNA from 1 species